UCCGAGCCUCCACGGUAACUGGUCUUCGUCCGAGCUUCUACAAUAAGCGGCUUCCUUUCAGACUCCUACAAGAGUCGGACUCCGUCUGAACUUCUACCACAGAAUUGAAUCUUGAUCUCCUCCAAUGUUCGACCUUCCCUAGUGUCCUCGAGACUCCUCCAGCGGAUAAACCUCCACAGCGCCAUCCGAACUCCACUGUCGGUCGACCUUCUGUCGGAUUCCUCAUGAAAUCGGACCUCUCCGAUGGACGAUCCUCAGAUGAGCUUCUACAUUAGGCAAAUUUCAGAUGGACAUCUCUAGCAAUUGGAUGCCUGCC
rnacentral:lncRNA from 1 species